CAGGGUACAGAAUGGUAGGAGAGAUGGCUUCCUACCUCCCACCAGUCAUGUGAGUAGUGAGUCACUCCAUUCUGGCUCUGGAGAGCUCUCUUGGUGUCUGAGUCAGACUUCUUAACCAAUGGCAUUCAGAGAAACUCAAGCUGCCCCUUUUAAUUCAGUAGGAGAGAAAAAUGUGUGGAAUGUUAUUUGCCAAACUGUGACCUCAAUUCAGACAACAUGCCUGGGCAGAGGAUCCAGGAUCAGGAGACAGCAUGAACUGGGACAAGCCUGAUUGUGGGAAAGAGCCCCAGCUUUGCCUUUGGGAAAGUCCUAAUCUACUCAGGCACCAAUUUCCUGGGUCAUAGGAGACAGAAUCUCAUCAAAAUCUCAGAGGCAGAGGAUUUCCACCAGUUUUGACUGAAGCUUGUUUUUAGCAUCUGGCUGGAAAUGUUACAUCAUGAAAUGCUUCAUACUGCAGGGAGAUCUCAGCUGAAGGAGCUCAAAGAGAAAGGAAGUACAGGGCUUACUCAACAGAAGAUCAGCAUCGAAGGAGUCAUAAAAGACUCCGGGUUUCCCCUUAUCACUCUGUGGGGACAUCUUCAAGAUAUUGGUUUCAGCUUUCAGCCUUGCCAUUUUUUGGCUCUGAAAUGGCUAGAUUAUGCAUUCAUAGAAAUGUCUUUGAAUAAAAGAAAGACACAUACUUCUUGUAGUUGACCUUUCUUUUCUGAGGGGAAGAGAUGUCUUCCCUGGGCAUUCCUCUCCUGCUGGGCUCCUAGAAAGGAUUAGGUAGAGCCAUGUCACAAGGCCACACCCAAGCCAGAGAGAGGCUCCA